AUUGAACGCUGGCGGCAUGCCUUACACAUGCAAGUCGAACGGCAGCACGGGAGCAAUCCUGGUGGCGAGUGGCGAACGGGUGAGUAAUAUAUCGGAACGUGCCCAGUCGUGGGGAUAACGUAGCGAAAGCUGCGCUAAUACCGCAUACGAUCUAUGGAUGAAAGCGGGGGAUCGCAAGACCUCGCGCGAUUGGAGCGGCCGAUAUCAGAUUAGGUAGUUGGUGAGGUAAAGGCUCACCAAGCCGACGAUCUGUAGCUGGUCUGAGAGGACGACCAGCCACACUGGGACUGAGACACGGCCCAGACUCCUACGGGAGGCAGCAGUGGGGAAUUUUGGACAAUGGGCGCAAGCCUGAUCCAGCAAUGCCGCGUGCAGGAU
rnacentral:rRNA from 1 species